rnacentral:rRNA from 1 species
AUUGAACGCUGGCGGCAGGCCUAACACAUGCAAGUCGAGCGAGCGGCGGACGGGUGAGUAAUGUCUGGGAAACUGCCUGAUGGCGGGGGCUAACUACUGGAAACGGUAGCUAAUACCGCAUACCAUCAGCUGUGCCCAGAUGGGAUUAGCUAGUAGGUGGGGUAAAGGCUUACCUAGGCGACGAUCCGUAACUGGUCUGAGAGGAUGAUCAGUCACACUGGAACUGAGACACGGUCCAGACUCUUACGGGAGGCAGCAGUGGGGAAUAUUGAAAAAUGGGCGAAAGCCUGAUGCAGCCAUGCCGCGUGUGUGAUGAAGGUCUUCGGAUUGUAAAGCACUUUCAGUUGGGAAGCGGUACCAACAGAAUAAGCACCGGCUAACUCCGUGCCAGCAGCCGCGGUAAUAC